GACAGCCUAAUGAUUACGUUGCUGGACUCCCAUGUAGUCAACCGCGGUUCAAGUCCCAGACCCGGCUGCUUAGAACUCACACCAGGGGCGUGCGCGUGCACGCCCAAACCCCCGGGGAGAAUGGAGAAGGGAUUGUGGUGUGGCCAUCCCCUGUCUUUCUGUGUCUCUCCAUCUCUCUGGCAAGAGCCGUGGAGCAUCUUCUCCCGCAGAGCAGAGGGCGCAGCGUUCUGAGUGGGCACCCUCUUCCGGGACUGCUGCCUGGCAGAGGCACAUGUACUCACCAGAGAGAACAGAGGGGGAAAAUGAGGGGAGAAGUGAAGGGGAAGAGACGGUCAUGGUCACACGCAUCGCUCCUCCUCCGUCGCCCCAUGGUUUUGAGCACCCACCGCACUCGAACCGCGGAACAGCCUGUUCCGCAUGACAGGUGUUAAGCAUGGGAAGACCCACUGCGUGGAGAAGAGAGCAGAACUCGGAAGACAGGAAAAGGGCACGCUCAGGGUCACGAGAGGGCACUCUGGGUGUGCAAAGGAGCACCUGCGCAACGGCGUGCAGAGGUGCAGCUGAGAGCAGCCCUCCC